GCCUUCGUGGUGUAGUGGCCAGCACGCUCGACGCGUAACAAAGAGGUGCGUGGUUCGAUUCCCGGCGAAGGCG
rnacentral:tRNA from 1 species